AACGAACGCUGGCGGCGUGGAUUAGGCAUGCAAGUCGAACGGAUGUUUAGCUUUUUCGAACAUUAGUGGCGAAAGGGUGAGUAACACGUGGGAUACCUACCUUAGAGUUUGGGAUAACCAGUCGAAAGAUUGGCUAAUACCGGAUACGUUCAUGUACUUUCGAGUAUAUGAGGAAAGAUUGGGACCCCCUCACGGGGGCCUGUCGCUCUUAGAUGGGCCCGCGGCCUAUCAGCUAGUUGGUGAGGUAAUGGCUCACCAAGGCUAAGACGGGUAGCUGGAUUGAGAGGUUGGUCAGCCACACUGGAACUGAGACACUGUCCAGACAUCUACGGAUGGCUGCAGUCGAGAAUCUUUCGCAAUGGGGGAAACCCUGACGAAGCGACGCCGCGUGCAGGAUGAAGGUCUUCGGAUUGUAAACUGCUGUCGGCUGGGAAAAAAAGCUUCUGAUUAACAAUUAGAAGUCUUGAUGGUACCAGCAAAGGAAGCCACGGCUAACUCUGUG
rnacentral:rRNA from 1 species